GUGGAUUAGAUACCCUGGUAGUCCACGCCGUAAACGAUGUGCACUAGGUGUUGGGGGUAAUAAAACCUUCAGUGCCGCAGCUAACGCAUUAAGUGCACCGCCUGGGGAUUACGGUCGCAAGAUUAAAACUCAAAGGAAUUGACGGGGGCCCGCACAAGCGGUGGAGUAUGUGGUUUAAUUCGACGCAACGCGCAUAACCUUACCUGGGCUUGACAUCCCGGUCGUACUGCCUGGAAACAGGCGGGUCAGCUCGGCUGGACCGGUGACAGGUGCUGCACGGUUGUCGUCAACU
rnacentral:rRNA from 1 species